rnacentral:sRNA from 1 species
CAAAACAUAUACGACACACAUAUGUAUGUAUGUAUAUAUGUAAGCCUUUUAUCUUAUUUAAUAUUUUCUUCAGACUCGCUGGAAUUUGAAGCUACAAGGAAAAGUGUCUGAUUUUCAAUGUGUGUCGUGGGUGUUGAGUGAGAGAAUAUUAAGAGCGAAUCUUUUUGGGCUGUGUCUGAAGCCGAAUGCGCGAGAGUGCUGAGAUGACAUCCCAAACUCUCCGGAAAAACUGAAGAGUAAUAGUUGCCGGGUUGCCAGCCUCGUUUUCUCUCUUUCUGCGUCUGCGUCCUGCAGCCAGAAUGGCGACUCUCGUUAAAAAUCGCAAGUCGUCAGACGUAUGCAAGAGCUUAAGAACGCUGUUUGCCAUCACGGUACGUGUUAACAAGACCGGGGUCGACCGACGGCAAAAGCAGUCACAAGAGGGGUACAAAAGAAUACAGUUGGAAGCAUAUGUAAAUCAAGAAAUGCCUCAAUUGGAGCCGCUGAAGUCGAAUUUGAAUUCCAAGUACAAAAAAGUAGAAUGUAAUAGUCACGCAACAAAAUAAACUUUAGACCACGCAAAAAAAUGUUCACACAUUGUUUACGUAAAUGUUGCUCUACUAACGGUUAACCGGAAGCCAUUAUGUGAAAUUAAAUACGGUACAGAAGUCUUUCCUCGCCUUAAUAAAUUCGCCACCAAUAAUUCGAUCAACCGACUAACCAAUCGACCAGCUAUCGGCUACGAAACUUUUAAUUUAAUAGAAAGAAUAAAUAAUAAGAUUAAUAAUUAAUCAAAUAAAAUAAAGAGCGAAAAAUAUCAUAUUUUUGAGAAUUUUUUGAAUAUUUUUUUACUGUUUGCCCAACUAAGAAACAGAGUGUGUUCAUGAAGCAGUUCAGCAAAAUUUUACCAAUAGUAAAUUAGAAUAAUUCAUUAUCAAUUGAAAAUCUAAUUCGGAAUAUUGAGAGAAUUGAGGAACCUAAGCUGCCUAUGUAAAUCUCGUUUUUAGGAAAUUGAAAACACCAAAUCCAAAUACAGAUUUCGAUGCAACUUGACUCAAACACUUAAGUCGGGUAAACGUUCCAAUUUGAGCGUUUUCAAAUUAUAUAAGUAAAAGUGAUAAUACUAUCACUGUGAUUUACCGGAUUGGAUAUUAUUUUGGUUUGCGAUUCUGUGUGUUUUUUUACUGUACAGAUAACAAAGCUGAAAAGAGAUCCAAAAGCUUGAUUGAAUGAGUGAAUCGUGAGUGAGUCAAUGAAAUAGCUGAGGUGAGGAAAACAUAGAGUGCCUUGCUUAGCACAAUGAAGCUACAAUUUCAGCUCUACCCUGAUGCAUAUAAAAGCCUAGACGCAGUCUUUGUUGCAAACGCAGAUAAACUCAUCAUCACAGCCAUCCACUGCCACACAACCUGACCUACGAAAAAAAUAGAAUUGAGUGUUACCAAUGUGCCAAUAGCUGCAGUAGAUUGAUAUCUAAAAUAUAGUGCAGCUUCAGCAUCACAAGAAUACUUAAGCUACGACUAUUACGACGCAUAAUUACUUUUUGAUUGUCUCAAAUGUGCCAAUUAAAGUUUGGAUGCAUGAGAGUACCUUUUGGUAAAUAUCCUCGGGAACGAGAAUAAAAAGGGGAAAUAACCUUUAAAAAACGAGGAGAGGACAACCAAGACUUAGCAUUGACGCUAA